AUGAGCUAGAGUGUUUCGGCAAUUACACUAAGAUUAGUGUUUGAAUUGAUUAAGGAGUUAUGUAUAUUUUGAAGCGAAAAUGGAGAGUGUGACAAUGAAACGUUGUGCGUUUUGCUUCCUAGGUUCGGAAGGCCUUCGACCAGCCACACCCUGACCCUAGUAGGCAGAGGUAUGAAGGCCAUAGGGGCUGCAUGGGAAGUCCUUAUGAGUCGAGAACGAAAGCUUUCAUUGUUAGUAAGUUCGACGGGCGACGGGUCGAGACUCGCCGAGGAGACUACUAACGGAACACGGAACGUGACGAACGAUAUUGCUUUGUUUGUUCUAGAAGAUUUUGGAUAGCAAGUGUGUUUCAUUUCAGGGUCAUAGUAAAGGAUAUGACGAACUUCUAUCCUUGUUCCAGAAGUUCGGAGUUUGUACGGAAUCAAUAGUGCUGCAGUAGUUGAGUUUUAGUAAGUUGUAACGGUGUGUCAAACGGUUUUGAUUGUAAAACGUAUACUCUGAUAUUUGUAAAAGGUUUUGAAACUGCGUUUUUAAACCGUAUGUAAAAGGUGGAACGGGCUGUGCUGGAUGUGAGACAUCGCAAUAUAAGACCCAGGUUCCUAUGUAAUGUUUUCAGGUUUU